GGUAUAGCUCAAGCGGUUGAGUGUGUGCUUAGCAUGCACAAGGUCCUGGGUUCAAUCCCCAGUACC
rnacentral:tRNA from 1 species